rnacentral:tRNA from 1 species
GCAGUCGUGGCCGAGUGAUUAAGGCGAUGGACAAGAAAUCCAUUGGGGUCUCCCCGCACAGGUUCGAAUCCUGUCGACUGCG